GCUUCGUCACAAUCUCGACUUCUCGUCCUCUCGUGUUCUCGCCUCGGAAGUGCAGUUUAUAACGCAUGUCCACUGACUACCGUAUCGGCAUUUGUAUUCAGUCUGGUAUUUUCAUUCAAAGUCAAAGCCGAUGGAAGCUCUAGCGAUCAACAAAAUUCUCAAUGAUUUGGGCUUAAUCCAUCUCUUAGAUGUAUUUACUGACAAUUCCUAGCUGUUGAUCUGUCAGUGACCAGGGUUUAAGCCACCUGUGCAGAUGUCAUCAAGGUCACUUUAAGAUGUAAACAGCGUUAAUUAUAAUUAGGCUUUUAAUUAGGGCAUGUGAUUGUUGUGGAGGAUUUGUGGGGUUAGGGCUAGUAGCACUAGUUCCCUAGCAUCUCAUGUUGAAAAACUAUGAUAAAUAUGGCCCAUGAUGCUUGAUCACCUUUGAAAAGUUGUGUUGAUGCUCAAGAUCUAGAGGUUAAAGUUAAUAUCGAAUUGACUCUAAAUUUACACACAGUUUAAAGGUCAUGAGAUGAAGAAUCCUAUUGAUUUUCAACAUUUUCCAAUAGUUACUGCCAGAGUUAUGGCCCUUGAUCUCUUUAAGAUAUCUUGUUGACGGAAUAAUAUUUAUAAACUUAAUAUCAAUUGACUUUUAAAUUUAAAAUAGCAUUAUGCAAGAGAAAAAUCUGCUUAUUACAGGUCUUUCUUUAGGCCUGAAAUGUUAUCUAAAUAAUCAAUUAGACAUUAAUUAACAUAUCCAGACCAUAAUAAACUCUUUAUGUCAAGGCUAGCCUUCGAUGUUGGCGGAUUAAAUUCCUAUAUGCAGCUUAAUGGCCGUUGAUAAUUAAAUCAAUCAAGUGGAUAAUCGAGACUAUACUGUUUAUAUUAAUGAUUUGAGUAAUGAUGACCAAGGCUAUGUGAAUAUUGGAAACGCUUUUUUCUCGGCUAAUAGUUGAUCAAUUUGACUGAAAUUUUCAGCAAAUUACCUUUACACUAUCUAGUUUUUAACUAUUAUAGUGAGAACUGCCAUCUCUUUAUCUUAUCUCCCAUUAUGUAACUUUAAAGAGUGUUUUAGGCCACAAGACACAUUAGCCUAUUUCCAAUAAUUACUGCUAGAGUUAUGGCCCUUUAUCGCUUCAAAAUAUCUGGUUGACAUUCUAGAUGCUAAAGUUAAUAAACAUCUGAUUGAUUUUAGAUUUAUAUGCACUGUUUAAAUUCACGAGACACAGAAGAUUAUUGAUUUCAACAAUUACUGCCAUACUGUAGCGCGUGACCUCUUUCAAAAAUUUUGUAGACUCUUGUGGCUAAAGUUAAUAUCUGAUUGACUUUAAAUAGAGAUUACUAUCAUGAGACAAAGAAUCCUAUUCAUUUUCAAAGAUUUCUGAUAAUUACUGCCAGAUUUAAGGUGGAGUGUGGACGCUCUAGAGGCCAAAAAUCAAUUCAUGCAUUCAUUCACUCUAAAGGCCAAAGUUGAUAUAAAUUGUUUAAGGUCAUGAGACAAGAAAUCAAAACAAAUGGUUUCUGAUGAUUUAUACUUCAUGGGUUAUUACUUGUAAUCAGAUUUUCAUGUGUUGUAAAUGUUCUCAUUACUGACUAAAGAAAAAAUAUGCUUUGGGCGUAUGGUGUAUGUUUUGUUGCCUGGCAAGAGUGGCAACCUAUCUUCUAUUUUUUUUACAAAGGUUUUGUUAAAGGCACUGAGGGACCCAUGGUGGCUCGCUAACUGUCCUGUGUUUGAUCCCUACAUUGGCUGAGAAAGUUCAUUGGAAUUUUCCCGUCUGGUUCGUAGUUCCCCCUGUCAGUGAUGUAGGAUGGAGGGACAAUGCAUAGCGGUAGUCGUUCAGAUGGGAUGAAAAACAGGGAUCCUGUAUAUACAUUGGUGUGCACGGAAAUGAUCCCUUGACAGUUGGAAUUUUGUAAUAACAUACUGCAUGUCAAGCCCAUCUUCAUUUUGCCCGGUCGGAGCAAGACUGUAGGAUGUUAAACCCCAAUUUAUUUUAUUUCAUUAUAAUCCGUAUGUGUGGGCGUAUGUUUCGUUGCCUGGCAACCUAUUUUUUGAUUUAAAAAGUAUAUCACCAUUACACCCUAAUGAUGUUUGAAUUUUGUGAAAAUCGGACCAAAACUGUCAGACAAAAUGGCCGCUCUUUGUCUGCAAAUUGUGUAUAUAAGUAAUACAAAGGUUAUGGAUACCCUCUAGGAGUCACAAUUUUGAUCCGAUUUUAAUUAAGCUUAGACCAUAUCUUCAUAUAUUAAAAAAAUCUUAGUCCCUUUUGAUAUUUGUGUAUUUCAGAGCGUUACUUUUUGGAUUAUGGCCCCUGAUUGUACCAAAAUUUUUUGUUUUUUUUUAGCUUAUUCUCUUUUCAUCCCUUGCAAAGUGUGGGAGUUUCCUGCCUGGCAGCUGCUGAUUAUCCGAUUUUAACGAAACUUAAAAUAUAUCUUUAUAUCACAAAGAUGUCAGUCCCUUUUGAUAUUUGCGCAAUUCAGAUCAUAACUUUCUGGAUUAUAGCCCCUGAUCGCAUGGAAAAUCACUUUUGUUCCAGCUUGUUCUCUAACCAUCUCUUGCAAAAUGUGGGCAUAUCGUGUCUAGCAGCCGCUGGUUUUCUUAAUUAAUAUAUGUUUAUUUAACAGGUUGGCCCUCCAGAAGUUCUAACAUUAACCGAUUCAGAAUUUAAUUUCCUUGGUGUGAGUGCUAUUGGGGACCGUGCUAGGUUGAGACAGAGAUGUAGAACAUAUUUGAAUGGUCAGUGUGAAUCGCCAUCUUUAAAGAAAUUCAAAGAGCUAUCAGAAAAGAAAAAAACACAGAAUAACAACAAGUUCAAGUCCAAUCGUAGAUUAUAUACUGGGUGGAAGUUAUCUACAGGACAGAGUUUUAAACUAGUUCCACUAUCUCAAGGAGGGGGAUCUAUAAUUAUGGAUCUUCCCAAAGAGUAUUCUCUUCCAGACCUUCAAAAAAAAAUGAUUGCAACUUUCUUCCCAGAUGGUCAAGCAGUCCAUAAAAACAUAAAACUUUCACAUUGUGAAACAUUCAUCGGAAAUUUUGCUGGUGAACGUGUGCCAUCAAGACUGUUGAAUGGUGAUCUUUUUUCCCUUGAUGGAUAUUUUUCUGAGAUAAAAUCUAAUCCUGUGAGAUUAUAUUUGUAUGCAAAAACCACAACGGUUAAUCAACCACCAUCACCAUCAACUUCAACUACCACAUUAAAUCAACAAACUUCAGCUACAUUAAAUCAACCACCAUCUCCAUCAACUUCAUCUACCACAUUAAAUCAACAACCUUCAGCUACAUGUACUCAACCACCAUCAUCAUCAACUUCAUCUACCACAUUAAAUCAACAAACUUCAGCCACAUGUACUCAACCACCAUCAUCAUCAACUUCAUCUACCACAUUAAAUCAACAAACUUCAGCUACUUGUACUCAACCACAACUAGCAAUUAAUGCUGUAAAUUAUGCAACAAAUAUCAUCAAUGAUGACACAGAUGAUGAACUACCGGAUAUCUCAUUUUAUUCAGGAACACCAACUAUAACCUUCAAGAAAAGUAAAAAAGCUGAGAGCUUGGAAGAGAUUCUAGUUCGCUUGAAUAGUCAGAUAAAAAAUGAGAAAAACAUCAUCAAUGUAAGCCGAGGUGAUGUUUUGUCUGGAACAAGGAGAGCGUUUUCCAGAAAAACCUUCAGGCCCGAAUUCGGUUAAAGAGUCAAAUUUUCAGGGGAAAAUGGUAUCGAUGAUGGGGGACCAUCCAGAGAACUUUUACAACUUCUAAUGAGCUCUAUAAAAGAUUCACAAGUGUUUCAAGGGUCAGAGUGUAAAAUGCUCUGUCCUGAUAUCCCCAGUGAAGAAAGAGAUGAUUACAGACUGUUUGGAAAAAUCAUAUCAUAUUCAGUAAUUCACCAAGGUCCAGUGUCAAGAUUCUUUUCUGGAAUCCUUUAUGAUCUGAUAGCUUUUGGCUCUUGUGAACCAAAAUUGGAUGACAUAGUAGAUUAUCAAAUCAGAGAACAAAUUAAAGAGUUGUCAAGGGCAGAUGAUGUAAUAAUGUUACAAGAGGCUGCUCAGCCUCUUAUUGGCCAUAUAGACUUUUUAGGAGCUAUACCUCUUAUAUUCGAUGUAAAAAAUAAAGAAAGUCUAGUCACAUUAUUAACACGGUAUUUUGUUGUGGACAGGGUAAAAGGAGUACUGAAUCAGUUCUGUGAAGGGAUGGAUUCUUUAGGUUUGAGAAAGGAAAUAAUUAAAAAUCCAGAAGUCAUGAGAGAACUUUUUGUUUUCUCGUAUGAAAAAUUGUCGUCCAUUAAUAUUGAUCACCUGUUUACUCCGGUUUUUAGCGAAAACAGCUUUUCGCUUGAACAGGAAUUAAACAGCCAUGCUCAUUGGAGAGAUUUUCUUCUGGAUCUUGAAGAAACAGAUGAACUGGGUAGUUUGUUAUCUUUUGUGACUGGUUUAAAGGACAUACCUCCACUGGGAUUCAACCCACCACUAAAGCUACUGUUUAGACACCCAUCUUUUGAAUGGGACAUUGCCCCGUUUGCAAAUACUUGUGCUAAUACCCUUAACAUUCCAGUGUUAAAAGAUUAUGAUGCAUUCAAAACUGCAAUGGCCAUGUCUUUAAGAAUUGGCAAUAUUUUUACUGACGCUUAAAAUAUUAACUUGCCUUUUUCUGUUUUACCCAGUCAGUUUGAAAGUUUUUAAGAUAGUUAUAUUUAAAAACACUUUUUGGUCAUACAACGUAGUCUGUUUUAUCCAAUCAAUUUGAUAGUUUUUAAGAUAGUUAAUUUAAAAUUGCCCUUUUUGUGAUACAACUUAAAUCUGUUUUAUCCAAUCAGUUUGAUAGUUCUUAAGAUAGUUAUAUUUAAAAACGCUUUUUUGUGAUACAACUUAGU